rnacentral:lncRNA from 1 species
GGGGAGCUGACUGAAGUAACAUGCAGCACAGAGACAGUGAUUUCUGGAGGCUGUUAACGUUUGGAAAUGUUAACGAAAAGAUCUUUCUAAAGAGCAGUCAAGAAUUGAGAAAGGUGAAUAUCCCUGGGGACUGUUGUUCUUUUUCAAGAAAGAGAUGUUAAAUGUAAACCAUAAAGAGAGCGACAGAUACAAAUGGGGAUUUUUCUUCAAGCAGAAGCUGAAAUCCUCCAUGUCUCACUCCUCUGGGAAAGAUUCCUGCUGCUCAGAAAGAAAGCAAAGAUGGCAAUGUGACUGGGGACCCCCAACUCCACCUAUUACUUCCACACGAAUGCUCGAUAUAAUCAUCUAUCUUAUGAGCAGCAAAAGUUUUUCCAGAAAUGGGUGGUGUUUGGUUUGGUUUUUUGUUGGUAUUUGGUAUUAUAGGGUUCUUCAAAGUCUGUGUGUGGUUCUCCUGCCCAAGAACUAUCCACCUUUCAUGCUCUCUUUCCCAGGAUUUACUAUGUGAUAAGGGCAGGGCCAAAACCACAUGCCAUUUUGGAGUAGCUAAUUCCCCAGUCUGUUUCAAGAUUUGAGGCUUGCUUGCUGAUCUUGUUCCUUCUAUUCUGAGGAUUAGUUUUUAGUGAGCACCUGUAUCUAACACUCAUUUGAAUAUUUAGCUAUAUUAUAAUGCAAUCUGUACUUAUCAGACUUUCCUUUGCAUUCUUUACUUUUGCAGUGAUAAUUGCCAUAAUUAAGCAGGGAUAGAUAAAUAACUACACUAGUGUUAAUACUUGGAUAGCUAGAAAGCAGUCUCCUCCACACAAUGCCCUGUCCUCAAAUCUCACGACUGGAAAUACAAGCACAGUUANACUUGGAUAGCUAGAAAGCAGUCUCCUCCACACAAUGCCCUGUCCUCAAAUCUCACGACUGGAAAUACAAGCACAGUUAAACGCUGUUUGAUUUUUUUGUUUGUUUGCAACCUGUAUUAGGGACUGAUCCAAANGACGUUUGAUUUUUUUGUUUGUUUGCAACCUGUAUUAGGGACUGAUCCAAAGUACACUUGGAGUCAAUAGAAAGACUCC